UAUUUGUAUACAGUAUGGACAAUUGACAUAUAUUUAGAGAUUUAUUUGAGAAUCUCUAUAACUUGAUGCAGCGGGAAAAUAUAUGAAAGGCUUUUUUAGUUGGAUGUCUCUAAUUACAAUAGUGUCACUUGGAUCGCUAGGAACUCUUGAAUUAGAAAUACGGAAAUUAUUCUAAUCCUUUACGCAUCCUUCCAAUGCUAAAAAAAUAACCACCAGAGUGCUCAUUGUUUUCAUGGAAAGUUGGCGUUAGCCGCUGUACAAGGCACUUAGCGGGUGUUGCCUGAACCCAGUAAAUAAUGGGUUAAACUGAAUCAGCCGCAACAAACUAUGGUAUUUAACACACUACAAAAGCUAUGCCCACCCAAACCGCAAUUGCUCCAUAAGCGAUCCAAGCUCCUGUAGUCAUUAGAGGUACCGGCUUUAAAUGGAAGUUAAAUGGAAUUUGGAUCUUAGGUAACUUUGUGGAUCGCACGGUCUAGCACCGGCGACGGAUCAUUCAAGUGUCUGCCCUAUCAACUUUCGUCGGUACGGUAUUUGCCUACCGAGGUUCUUACGGGUGACGGGGAAUCAGGGUUCGAUUCCGGAGAGGGAGCCUGAGAAACGGCUACCACAUCCAAGGAAGGCAGCAGGCGCGCAAAUUACCCAUUCCCGACGCGGGGAGGUAGUGACGAAAAAUAACAAUGCAGGACUCGUUCGAGGCCCUGUAAUUGGAAUGAGUACACUUUAAAAGCUUUAACGAGUAUCCAUUGGAGGGCAAGUCUGGUGCCAGCAGCCGCGGUAAUUCCAGCUCCAAAAGUAUAUAUUUAAGUUGUUGCGGUUAAAAAGCUCGUAGUUGGAUUUUGGGCGCAGGCGGCCGGUCCGUCGCAAGGCGUGUACUGGACGUCCUGGCCUUCCCUCCGGUUCUCCGCCGGUGCUCUUGACUGAGUGUCGGCGGCGGCCGGAACGUUUACUUUGAAAAAAUUAGAGUGUUCAAAGCAGGCUCUCGAGCCUGGAUAAUGGUGCAUGGAAUAAUGGAAUAGGACCUCGGUUCUAUUUUGUUGGUUUUCGGAGCGCGAGGUAAUGAUUAAGAGGGACAGACGGGGGCAUUCGUACUGUGCCGUUAGAGGUGAAAUUCUUGGAUCGGCGCAAGACGAACGACUGCGACAGCAUUUGCCAAGAAUGUUUC
rnacentral:ncRNA from 1 species